rnacentral:lncRNA from 1 species
AGCAAACUCUCCUCUUGGGCAGGAAGACAUAAACAGGCUGUAAAAUGGAAAACUACAUCUGUGUUCGUUUCUCUACCUUGAAAGACGGCCACAUUUGGCUGGGACGGCAUGACAUCACUCACUAUAGAUGUUAUACCCUGCGUUCCUCUUCAGCAGUGCAGUAAAUGACUAAAAUGCACAGGUCUUAAUAUCGCUAGCCCCGCUGCUUCCUUCCAAGCCACCCAAGUCCCAGGGCAGAGAUCCAUGUUGACAGUCCGUGAGACCCAUCACAUCACUGUCACAGCCCCGGGCCAGUCAGAACAGUGAUGGAGUGACUCCAGAG